rnacentral:rRNA from 1 species
GAGUUUGGAUCCUGGCUCAGGAUGAACGCUAGCGGCAGGCCUAACACAUGCAAGUCGAGGGGCAGCACGGUGUAGCAAUACACUGGUGGCGACCGGCGCACGGGUGCGUAACGCGUAUGCAACCUACCCAUAACAGGGGGAUAACACUGAGAAAUUGGUACUAAUACCCCAUAACAUCAGGACCGGCAUCGGUUCUGGUUGAAAACUCCGGUGGUUAUGGAUGGGCAUGCGUUGUAUUAGCUGGUUGG